GAUGAAGAACGUAGCGAAAUGCGAUAAGUAAUGUGAAUUGCAGAAUUCAGAGAAUCAUCGAAUCUUUGAACGCACAUUGCGCCCCUUGGUAUUCCGAGGGGCAUGCCUGUUCGAGCGUCAUUUAUACCAACUCCUACUCUUAGUAGGGUCUUGGGCUUCGCCUCUGGGCGGGCCUUAAAAUUAGUGGCGGUGCCUUGAGGCUCUACGCGUAGUAAUACUCCUCGCGAUAGAUGUCUUAGGGUGUCUUGCCAGUAACCCCCAACUUUCUAAGGUUGACCUCGGAUCAGGUAGGGAUACCCGCUGAACUUAAGCAUAUCAAUAAGCGGAGGA
rnacentral:misc_RNA from 1 species